GACGUAGGGCGCGAGCGUUGUCCGGAUUUACUGGGCGUAAAGGGCUCGUAGGCGGCCAACUAAGUCAGACGUGAAAUCCCUCGGCUUAACCGGGGAACUGCAUCUGAUACUGGAUGGCUUGAGUUCGGGAGAGGGAUGCGGAAUUCCAGGUGUAGCGGUGAAAUGCGUAGAUAUCUGGAGGAACACCGGUGGCGAAGGCGGCAUCCUGGACCGGCACUGACGCUGAGGAGCGAAAGCCAGGGGAGCAAACGGG
rnacentral:rRNA from 1 species